rnacentral:misc_RNA from 1 species
AAUUCUCAACCUAACCAGCUUUUGCGAGCUUGGUUAGGCUUGGACCGUGGGGGCUUUUGCGGGCUUCACUUUGAAGUCAGCUCCCCUAAAAUGCAUUAGUGGAAACCCUUUGUUGACCUGUUCCUGGUGUGAUAAUUAUCUACAUCGCGUGCAGUCGGCUGUUUAAUGGGCUUUUUCUGCUUCUAACCCUUGUGUUUCCACCCUGUUACGGGGGGAACGCUUUUUGACCAU